GCGAUGAGCUGAAUUGUGUAAGUCAAUAAACACGCAAUUUGCAAUGUACUAUGUGGAGUACAGUUUAUUGCCUCAAUUUUUCGUUGAAGCAGAUGUCUGGAUGACAUCUGCU
rnacentral:sRNA from 1 species